rnacentral:rRNA from 1 species
CGCAGCCGCGGUAAUUCCAGCUCCAAUAGCGUAUAUUAAAGUUGUUGCAGUUAAAAAGCUCGUAGUUGAAUUUUGGAUUCUGCCAGUUGGUCCAUCUUUUGAUGAGUACUGAUUGUGUGGGGUCUAUCCGCCUGGUGAUACGUAAUGUACUUUAUUGUAUGUUGCGGGUAGUCAGGACCUUUACCUUGAAAAAUUAGAGUGUUUAAAGCAGGCUUAUGCCGGAAUACAUUAGCAUGGAAUAAUAGAAUAGGACGAUGUUGUUUUAUUUUGUUGGUUUCUAGGACAACCGUAAUGAUUAAUAGGGAUAGUUGGGGGCAUUAGUAUUCAAUUGUCAGAGGUGAAAUUCUUGGAUUUAUUGAAGACUAACUACUGCGAAAGCAUUUGCCAAGGAUGUUUUCAUUAAUCAAGAACGAAAGUUAGGGGAUCGAAGACAAUCAGAUACCGUCGUAGUCUUAACCAUAAACUAUGCCGACUAGGGAUCGGGCGAUGUUGUUUCAAUGACUCGCUCGGCACCUUAUA